GGCCCGGUGGCGGAAUGUUACGCGGAGGCGCCGCAAACGCUUCAUAUCCUGGUUCAAGUCCAGGCUGGGCCUCCA
rnacentral:tRNA from 1 species